GCCCCCUGGAAAAGAGAAGGAAACUAUAGAUGUGGGUUUAUGUGAUCUCUGGCGGGAAGAGGAGGUAAUACUCCAUCAACAUGCAUCACCGCAAGGACAAGAGAGAACACAGACAAAUCCAAAAAGUUGCAAGAACACUUCGCUAACAGAGAAAGGAGAUUGAGAAGAUCAGAUCUGAGAGACAAGUUCAAAACUAUGUGUACCUGUACCAGCUGACACCGUAUUUGAGUGUUCAUGCUAGAGGCUUCUUGGAGAGAAGAGAAACUGCCUGAGCCAUGCUCCAGGGGUCCUGAUAUCUUGCACUGGGACAUAAAAGUGAACAGUGGUUUCUGACCUGGGAUUCCACAUUGCUCAGAAUUUGCUCAGUGAAGCCUGCAGGAGGGAGCAUUCCUCUUUUUCACCAAGGCAGGCCACCCUCCCUACUAACAACUGCCUCAAGAUGCCCAGGAGGGGCCACAGUCCUUGAACUCAAGCACUUCUGUUCAGAGCACAGACUAUGAAGCUAUGAGGCUCAAAGCUUCCAGUGAGUCCAGGAGAAUGCAUUUGAAUCCCUGUUUGUCAGAGCAAUUUGAGGUAGACAGUUUCCUCUCUAGCUCCCUCAUCACGGAUCAUGAAUGUGCUGCUGUGGACAUGCCAGACAGAAGUACAGGAGAUAGGCCCAGGCUGUACAUCCCAAUUGGAUUGGAAACCAACCUGCAGCUGGCAGAGAUCUUAAGGACAAGAGAGGAGUAAGCAUGAUCUCCAGCAGGGCUGGACAUAGACACAGGGUUUCACUGUAAGAGGAAGUGGAGGAGCAUUUAAAACCCUGCAUGUUCAUAGUCAUUGCCAGAAGUGGAUGGUCAGAGUCAUUGCUUGAGGAAGGCUGACUGCAGAGUAAGAGAUGACCCAAAUUCCCACUGCCUGACAGCGGAUGAAAUGCUCAAGGAGACUCUGCAGUUGCCCCAAAUGCAGGUAAGAUUAGUUUAGUGCACUUACAGCAUGAGGAAAAGCUGGGAUUCAGAAAAUACAUUGCCAUCUGACAGAUUUAUCCCAGCGCGUACUCUAAUUCCACCUUUGCUCAGACUAAUAGACUUAAAGAGCAGAGUUUAUCUCCCUUUAAAGGUCAGGGCUGAACAUUCCUAACAUUGGCCACACGAUUUAGCACCUUCAGGUAGCUGGAAUAACAGCAGGUACAGUGAGUACAGCCACUGGAGGGGAGGCACACUCCUCACAGACACUACAUUACACAAACACAGAGACUUUUCAGCUAGGAUGCAGUUACCCCAAAUUUCUCUGCACAGAGCAACUACUGCUCUACCUACCACAGUGAGGGAUUGCUUUCAAUUGACUCCGCUCUUGAUUUGAUGGCUGCUGCAAGGCCUUUCCCAAUAGGGAAUCCUUUUCUUGCCAACUCAAUGCUGGGCAGAAACAGGUCUUUCCAUGCCAGUUUGCCAUGGCGUUUGUGAGCCAGUUCAUACCCACGGAUUUCUCCUGGAACAGCAAUGGACAGGCCUCCUGGAGCAGAUAAGGAACGUAUUAGUCUUCCACAGCAAAAAAGGAAAGUAAAUAAUGGAGCAGGAGGUAGAGCAGGCUUCUGUGUCAGCCAUGUUUUGAGGCAGAGAUUACAUCUACUACGACUAGCUCAGCUUAUACAUACGAUGCUAACAGGAUUUUUCUGUCUGACAUUUAUGCCUAUGUAUUCUGGACUGUUGGAACACCUCCAUCCUCUUGCUGGUAACUCAGGUUUUUGGGUCAUUUCCCCUCACUAGGUUCUGUUCCAGAGAAGAGGUGCUCAGAACACAGAAGCUAUCAUAGCUGCCUGCAGUUUCCAAUCAAUCAGAGAACACACAGGAGGACACAGACUGCAUACAAACUUAAGCCAAAAACUUUGUUGUAGCACGUAACUGCAAUUGCAAUGGAUUGAUUACUACAUUGCACAGUGAUGCAGCAGUUUGCUUCAAUCCUGUUUUUAUUGGCAACUCCCAGAAGUUCAACACACUUAAACCUCCUCCAAGGUGCUGUUCCUCCUUGGUUACAGGAGUGACCAUGAAUAGCACUAGUUAGUACUUCUUUCUGGUUUUGGUUAUAAAUACUUCCCUGAAUGGAAAUCACUCAUUCUCUGGAGCCCUUGAACCAUUAGUUGAAGCCAUCACAAAAGUUAUUUAGGGACAACACUUGAACUGACAAGAACUAAAUUGAUCCACAAAAGAUUUAUUCAAAGAGGUGGAAAGGAAAGAUGGCAGGCAUGGAACAGGUCAUACUCAGGGCAUUGGAUUCACCUGCAUUUUCAUGAAGUAAAAAGCAGAAAGUACUGAGGUGAGCGACUAGUUUGAAGGACACUAUUUUUAGCUUCUUUGUCAGGACAGAGUUUGCAAAUUCUUUAGAUGACAUUUCUAGGUGACAAAUCCUGUAGAUAUGCAAGAACAUAACAAUAUGAAAUGUUCUUAAUUCAGACAUGUAGCAGCUAAUGUUGGAGCUAUGCAGUCCCCCCAAAGCAGUGAAACAGCCUUUGCCUUACCUUUCAGAGAGAGCUGUGUGUUGUUCCCAAACAUGUUCUCCGAUGCUUUUUUUGGAGCCACCUCUCUUGCAUUAAUGAUUUCCACUUUUCCUUUAACAACAGAGCAAGGAAGAUGAUGUUUAGCUCUGGACUCAACACACAGGCAUGGUCUCUGCUGAAGAAGCCUGAUCAAUGUGAGCCAGUUUCUUGGCAAUUAUUCUGAGGACAGCAUGUUCCCCCAGGGGCUGAGAGUCAGCCUUUUACCUUCACUCAGGUAGAAAAAAUCACCUGCUUUAGAUAAAUAGUUCUCAAGCUGUUCCAGAUGUGUAUGGCCCUGUCCCUUACCUGUGCUGCUGUAGAUGGUAAAGAAGAGGCCUCCUCCAAUGCCCAUGCUGUGAGCAUUCAUGAGUCCUACACAAAGCAGGGCUGCAAUUGCAGCGUCCACUGCUGAUCCACCUUGCUGAAGGAUGUCCCUGUGCAGCAAAAGAGAAGGCAUCAUAUGGUGACAUGACACAGUGUCUCAGCUACCUAUAAGCAGUUGAGUCAUCUCAUCAGAGCAGCUAUGGCAGAGUAUCUAAUCCACACCCAGUCUAUAGGUUCCUCAAGAAUAGGAAGGUUUGAGCUCUGUCACCUUAGAGGAUACAUCCUAAUGGUCUAGAUGCAGAACAGAUCAGCCUCAUUAAAGACACAUCCAAACUAGCUUGAAAACACUUGAGAUGUGUCAAAGUAUGUUUGGGGACAGGCAUCCCAGACACAUUCAUUACAUGUGAGAAAUGGCAGCUGAGGAGCCUGAAAUCUGCAGCACUUGCGUCUAGAACCGGAGGACAGCUUGAUAAAUGGUUUUUAAAUGGAGCUUGAAAAGCAUGUCUUGUUCCCAUUGUUCAUGCACCUAGGGGAUCUUUGCCUGUGCAUGGUUUUAGCUGGGAUAGAGUUAAUUUUCUUCCCUGCAGCUGGCAUAGUGCUGUGCUUUGGACUUAGUAUGAAAAUAGUAUUGAUAACACACCGAUGGUUUAAUUGUUGCUGGUUAGUGCUUACACUACUCAAGGACUUUUCCAGCUUCCCAUGCUCUGCUGGGUGCACAAGCAGCCGGGAGGGGAGGGGGCACAGCCAAGAGAGCGGAUUCAAACUGGCCAAAGGGAAAUUCCAUAUCAUGUAACAUCAUGCCCAGUACAUUGGCUGGGGGAAGCUGGCUGGGGGACACCGCUAUCGUGACUCAGGAAGCGGCAGCGCCAGUCAGCAGGUGGUGAGCGGUUCCAUUGCUUGUGGUAUUUUUUCUUUAUUUUUUAUUUCUGGGCUUCAUUUCUCUCUUGUUAUUUUCCUUUUUAUUAUAUGAUCAUUAUUAUUAUAAUUAUUAUUAUUAUCAUUACCAUUAUUACUAUUACUAUUUUAUUUAAAUUAUUAAACUGUUCCUAUCUCAA